GAGUUUGAUCGUGGCUCAGAGCGAACGCUGGCGGCAGGCUUAACACAUGCAAGUCGAGCGGGCGUAGCAAUACGUCAGCGGCAGACGGGUGAGUAACACGUGGGAACGUACCUUUUGGUUCGGAACAACUGAGGGAAACUUCAGCUAAUACCGGAUAAGCCCUAACGGGGAAAGAUUUAUCGCCGAAAGAUCGGCCCGCGUCUGAUUAGCUAGUUGGUGAGGUAAUGGCUCACCAAGGCGACGAUCAGUAGCUGGUCUGAGAGGAUGAUCAGCCACACUGGGACUGAGACACGGCCCAGACUCCUACGGGAGGCAGCAGUGGGGAAUAUUGGACAAUGGGGGCAACCCUGAUCCAGCCAUGCCGCGUGAGUGAUGAAGGCCCUAGGGUUGUAAAGCUCUUUGUGCGGGAAGAUAAUGACGGUACCGCAAGAAUAAGCCCCGGCUAACUUCGUGCCAGCAGCCGCCGUAAC
rnacentral:rRNA from 1 species